UUAGGUCAGCAAACCCGCUGAAUUUAAGCAUAUAAGUAAGCGGAGGAAAAGAAACUAAAUAGGAUUCCCUCAGUAAUGGCGAAUGAACAGGGAUGAGCUCAGUAUGGAAAUUGGGGCCUGUGGCCUUGAAUUGUAGUCUGGAGAUGUACCACCAACUGGGGCGCAGAUGUAAGCCUCUUGGAAAAGAGCAUCAAUGAGGGUGAGAGUCCCGCUUGGCAUCUGCAGUCCCCAGUGCACGGUGUACCUUCUAAGAGUCACGUUCCUCGGGAUUGGAGCGCAAAUCGGGUGGUAAGUUUCAUCUAAAGCUAAAUAUAGUUUCGAGACCGAUAGCAAACAAGUACCAUGAGGGAAAGGUGAAAAGGACUUUGAAAAGAGAGUUAAAAGUGCCUGAAAUUGCUGAAAGGGAAGCGAAUGGAACCAGCGUAACUUGGCGAGAUUGCUGCGUGUCAAUGUGAUUGCUUGCUGCUUCAACGUAAGUGUUGUAGUAAGUCUUGAACAGGACAUGCGCGGUGCUUCUUGCCUUGUGUGUCACCGUCAGUUCGCAACUGGGGAAAACUUCAGGGACAUGGUAGCCUGUCUCCGGGUGGGUGAACGUGUUUGCUGGAACUCAUUUGCGGAUUGCUUGGUGACUAAAUGGUUCCAUCUGACCCGUCUUGUAACACGGACCAAGGAGUUUAAC
rnacentral:rRNA from 1 species